AGGAUAAUAGUUAAAAUUAACAUUUAAUUUGCACUUAAAAUUUAUUGAUCAUCAAUUUAUCUUA
rnacentral:tRNA from 1 species